GACGAACGCUGGCGGCGUGCCUAAUACAUGCAAGUCGAACGCAGUGGGGACGGGUGAGGAACACGUGGGUAACCUCCCAUCAGAGGGGAUAACACUUGGAAACAGGUGCUAAAACUGAUACUGAAGGAUGGACUCGCGGUGCAUUAGCUAGUUGGUGAGGUAACGGCUCACCAAGGCCACGAUGCCUAGCCGGCCUGAGAGGGUGAUCGGCCACACUGGGACUGAGACACGGCCCAGACUCCUACGGGAGGCAGCAGUGGGGAAUCUUCGGCAAUGGGCGAAAGUCUGACCGAGCAACGCCGCGUGAGUGAAGAAGGUUUUCGGAUCGUAAAACUCUGUUGUUGGGGAGGUGGUAUCUGACCAGAAAGCCACGGCUAACUACGUGCCAGCCGCCGCGGUAAUAC
rnacentral:rRNA from 1 species